rnacentral:rRNA from 1 species
GACGAACGCUGGCGGCGUGCUUAACACAUGCAAGUCGAACGAAGAGCGAUGGAAGCUUGCUUCUCUCAAUCUUAGUGGCGAGCGGGUGAGUAACGCGUAAUCAACCUGCCCUUCAGAGGGGGACAACAGUUGGAAACGACUGCUAAUACCGCAUACGAUCUAAACUCGGCAUCGAGGAUAGAUGAAAGGUGGCCUCUACAUGUAAGCUAUCACUGAAGGAGGGGAUUGCGUCUGAUUAGCUAGUUGGAGGGGUAACGGCCCACCAAGGCGAUGAUCAGUAGCCGGUCUGAGAGGAUGAACGGCCACAUUGGGACUGAGACACGGCCCAGACUCCUACGGGAGGCAGCAGUGGGGAAUCUUCCGCAAUGGACGAAAGUCUGACGGAGCAACGCCGCGUGAGUGAUGACGGCCUUCGGGUUGUAAAGCUCUGUUAAUCGAGACGAAAGGCCUUCUUGCGAAUAGUGAGAAGGAUUGACGGUACCGGAAUAGAAAGCCACGGCUAACUACGUG